rfam:Oryza brachyantha chromosome 6, whole genome shotgun sequence.
AUCUACUGCAUUUGUGCAUGGUUUAUGUUCAACGUUUGCUCAUCUAUCUUAUUUAAAGUAGAAUUAUAAUUAGUAUUUUUAAGGUUAUUAGAUGAUAAAACAUGAAUAAUACUUUAUGUAUAACUAUUUUUAAAAUUUUUUAAAUAAGACAGACGAUCAAACGUUAGAUACAAAAAUCCAUAAAUACAGUUAUA